rnacentral:rRNA from 1 species
ACGAAGGGGGCUAGCGUUGUUCGGAAUCACUGGGCGUAAAGGGCGCGUAGGCGGCUUUAUAAGUCGGGGGUGAAAGCCUGUGGCUCAACUACAGAAUUGCCUUCGAUACUGUAGAGCUUGAGACCGGAAGAGGUAAGUGGAACUGCGAGUGUAGAGGUGAAAUUCGUAGAUAUCAGGUGGAACACCAGUGGCGAAGGCGGCUUUCUGGACGGUAACUGACGCUGAGACGCGAAAGCGUGGGGAGCAAACAGGA